GGCAGGCUUGGUGACACACUCCUGUAAUCCUAGCAGCUAGAGAGAUUGGGACUGGCGGAUUGCUUGAGUUUAGGAGUUCUGAGCUGCAGUGGUCUAUAGCCGAUCAGGUAUCCACACUUGAUGUGACACUAAUAUGAUGAGCCCCCUGGGAGUAGGGGAUCACCAGGCUGCAUAAAGAGGGGCUAUUUGGCCCAUGUUGGAAACUGAAUACAUCAGAGGUCUCAUGCCAGGUCAAAGUUCCCAUGCCAGUUAGUGAUGGGGUUGUUCCUGUGAGUGACUGCUAUGCUUCCAACCUAGGUGAGGAGAGUUCCAGUCUCAA
rnacentral:SRP_RNA from 1 species